rnacentral:rRNA from 1 species
CCUACGGGAGGCAGCAGUGGGGAAUAUUGCACAAUGGGGGAAACCCUGAUGCAGCGACGCCGCGUGCGUGAAGAAGUAAUUCGUUAUGUCAAGCUCUAUCAGCAGGGAAGAACAUUACGAUACCUGAGUGAUAAGCCCCGGCUAACUACGUGCCAGCAGCCGCGGUCAUACGUAGGGGGCACGCGUUAUCCGGAUUUACUGGGUGUAAAGUGAGCGUAGACGGUAGUGCAAGUCUGGAGUGAAAGGCGGGGGCUCAACCCCGGACUGCUCUGGAAACUAUACGGCUGGAGUGCAGGAGAGGUAAGUGGAAUUCCAAGUGUAGCGGUGAAAUGCGUAGAUAUAAGGAAGAACACCAGUGGCGAAGGCGGCUUACUGGACUGAAACUGACGUUGAGGGUCGAAAGCGUGGGGAGCAAACAGGAUUAGAUACCCUAGUAGUC